rnacentral:rRNA from 1 species
UACGUAGGGGGCGAGCGUUGUCCCGAGUUACUGGGCGUAAAGCGCACGCAGGCGGUCUGUGAAGUUUGGAGUGACAGUUGGUGGCUCAACCACCAAAGUGCUUUGAAAACUGAUAGACUUGAGGGCUUCAGAGGGACACGGAAUUCCGGGUGGAGUGGUGAAAUGCGUAGAGAUCCGGAGGAACACCAAAGGCGAAGGCAGUGUCCUGGGGAGUACCUGACGCUCAGGUGCGAAAGCCAGGGGAGCGAACGGG